UACGUAGGGGGCGAGCGUUGUCCGGAUUUAUUGGGCGUAAAGAGCUCGUAGGCGGCUUGUCGCGUCGAAUGUGAAAACCUGCAGCUCAACUGCAGGCUUGCAUUCGAUACGGGCAGGCUCGAGUUCGGUAGGGGAGACUGGAAUUCCUGGUGUAGCGGUGAAAUGCGCAGAUAUCAGGAGGAACACCAGUGGCGAAGGCGGUUGCCUGGGGCUUUGCUGACGCUGAUGCGCGAAAGCGUGGGGAGCGAUCCGG
rnacentral:rRNA from 1 species